rnacentral:misc_RNA from 1 species
CUGAGUAAAUUGGGUCUCUAUGGCCCAUACUCCCACCCUUUUGUGUACCUUACCAAAUGUUAAGUUGCCUUGGUAGGAACCUACCCUUCCCCUUUAACUAGGGAGAAAGCAGGCCUACCAUUGGAACUCUUUUUAAAACUCUUUUUUGAAUGGAGUCGUCUGAGAAAUAAAUUCAAAUGAAUUA